UGGCAUGAUUGUUGAUACCUUUGAAUAUCUCAGAAACUGUCUCAAAUGUUUACAGGGAAUAAAACAAAAAACAAAUAAAACACCAAAUUAGUGGCAGUUCUAUAGAUGCAACUUCUUCUUAAUUAGAUAACUCUGAGAAAAAUAUCCAGACCGGUAAAAGACAACCACUGUAACUGAAAUAACCACUGUUAUGGAGAAGUGCAUCUCUGAAUGCACAGUACAUUGAAC